CCUGAUAAUAAUAGCAGUUGGGAACCACCUGAUACCAUCUAGAAUUCAGAAGUGAAACCAUCUUGCGCCAAUGGUAGUGUGGGUUUUUUCCAUGUAAUAGUAGGUAAUUGUCAGGU
rnacentral:rRNA from 1 species